rnacentral:tRNA from 1 species
CAUAAUAAUAACUAAAAUUCAUAUAUUGGUCCUGUAAAUCAAAAAUAAGAUAAAUUUUUUAAAAACAU